rnacentral:tmRNA from 1 species
GGGGGCGCAUUGGAUUCGACGUGGACAGCGAAACCCAAGGGGCAUGCCGAGGCGCAGACAACCUCGUAAAUCCAGCUGCAAAAACUUAGUUGCCAACGACGACAACUACGCACUCGCUGCUUAAUACCCAGUAGGGUGCCGUCUGACCGGGUCCGUGCUUGUGCGCUCGAAUCAGGCGUCGACUCUCACAAGCUCGCGAAGAAGCCCGCCCGGGGCCGAUUCGUUAAAAGUACCGCCGGGCUCGCCGACCGUCUUCCCUGCCAUUCGGGUAGCGGCUGGUUAAACUAAUAGAAUUGGCUACGCAUGUAGAACCGAGGGCGGAGGGUUCGCGGACGUGGGUUCGACUCCCACCGCCUCCACCA